GACGAACGCUGGCGGCGUGCUUAACACAUGCAAGUCGAACGGAAAGGCCCUGCUUGCAGGGUGCUCGAGUGGCGAACGGGUGAGUAACACGUGGGUGAUCUGCCCCUUACUUUGGGAUAAGCCUGGGAAACUGGGUCUAAUACUGGAUAGGACCAUGCUGUAGGUGGUGUGGUGGAAAAGAUUUUUUCGGUAAGGGAUGAGCUCGCGGCCUAUCAGCUUGUUGGUGGGGUAAUGGCCUACCAAAGGCGU
rnacentral:rRNA from 1 species